rnacentral:lncRNA from 10 species
GCCAGAGCCUGCGGAGGCAGCAGCAAUCCCUGUGCUGGGCACACGCCCAAGGCUGGCUUUGGGGUCAAAGAAUAAUCAAAGAUGACACUUUGGGCCUGUCCUCUCCCCAGCUCUCCUAGGCAAAGUUGGUGCGUCUGAGGAGUCAGCCUGGACUCGAACUUCUGACACGGGACCGCUGCUGGCUUGCUGCCAGGACCCGAGGGGCCCGAGGACACAGGGAGGAGCAUGGAGGGGGAAAGCAGCCAGACUCCGCCCAAGCAAUUUAGGCGCCUGCCUCGUCUGUGGUUCCCCACACCCCCAGCUCACCGAGUCGCGGGACAGCUCCUGGAGAUCCCCAGGGAGGCAGGGUCCAGGGAUUGCGGUGAGGCCCUGCGCCCAGGACGGCUGCGCCCCACCUGAGGGAAGAGUCACUCCUGUCCCUCUGGGCUGGUCCACGUGCAACCACGGGUGCUAGGUGCUGUUUCAGGUCCCAGUACACAGCACAGAGUGCACAGCAGGCCCCCGCGGAGGAUCAACACAGUGGCUGAACACCAGGAAGGAACGGGCACUUUAAGUCUGCACAUCUGAAACUUGGUAAGGCUAGUCUUUGGAACUUGCCUACUCCAUUUGAGUGGAAGCGUGGCCUGAUCAUCCACGGCGUGCCUGUACUGGCACUUUGGUUUUUGUUUUUGACUUGACUUGAAUUGUUU